rnacentral:rRNA from 1 species
CAGGCCUACACAUGCAAGUCGAGGGGUAACGAUGUCUUCGGACAGGCGACGACCGGGCACGGGUGAGUAUCGCGUUUGUAACCUACCUUUAACUGGAGCACUACCCGAAGAAAUUCGGAUUAAUACUCCAUAAUACUAUGAUCUGGCAUCUUUUAUAGUUAAAGCUCCGGCGGUUAAAGAUGGACAUGCGUAACAUUGGUUUGGGGUUAGGUAACGGCUCACCACAACUACCAUGUUUCCGGGGUCUGAGAGAUGGUUCCCCAGAACGGUGCUGCGACGGGGCCUCCANUNNNUAGGGAGGAGCUGUGGGGAAUAUUAGGUCAAUGGGCGCGGAGCUUCUCCCCACCUGCUCCCUGUGAUGGAUGGCCUGGGCUACGCGUGGGCGAGUGAGGCCAUUUCG